GACGAACGCUGGCGGCGUGCUUCACACAUGCAAGUCGAACGAGUGGCGAACGGGUGAGUAACACGGGGGUGAUCUGCCUUACACUUCGGGAUAAGCCUGGGCAACUGGGUCUAAUACCGGAUAGUGCAAGAUGAGCUCGCGUCCUAGCAGCUGGUUGGUGGGGUACUGGCUAGCAAGGCGCGACGGGUAGACGGCCUGAGAGGUUGUACGGCAACAUUGGGACUGCGCGACGGCCCAGACGCGUACGGGAGGCAGCAGUGGGGAAUAUUGCACAAUGGGCGGAAGCCUGAUGCAGCGACGGGGAGGGGGUGAUGAAGGCCUUCGGGUUGUAAACUCCUUUCGACAGGGACGCGGUACCUGGAUAAGAAGCACCGGCUAACUACGUGCCAGCAGCCGCGGUAAUAC
rnacentral:rRNA from 1 species